rnacentral:rRNA from 1 species
CCAGCAGCCGCGGUAAUUCCAGCUCCAAUAGCGUAUAUUAAAGUUGUUGCAGUUAAAAAGCUCGUAGUUAAUUUUCUGUUAAUUUUUAUAUACAAUGCUACGGUAUUUAUAUAAUAUUAACAUAAUUCAUAUUACAUUUUAGUAUAUGAAACUUUACUAUGAGAAAAUUAGAGUGCUUAAAGCAGGCUAUUGCCUUGAAUACUCCAGCAUGGAAUAAUAUUAAGGAUUUUUAUUCUUCUUAUUGGUUCUAGAAUAAUAAUAAUGAUUAAUAGGGACAGUUGGGGGCAUUUGUAUUUAACAGUCAGAGGUGAAAUUCUUAGAUUUGUUAAAGACAAACUACUGCGAAAGCAUUUGCCAAGGAUGUUUUCAUUAAUCAAGAACGAAAGUUAGGGGAUCGAAGACGAUCAGAUACCGUCGUAGUCUUAACCAUAAACUAUGCCAACUAGAGAUUGGAGGUUGUUCCUU